CUGAUCAAGAAUCUGUCUGGGAUCUUUUGUAAGAAUAAGCAAUGGCCGUGGCAAGUUAGGACUCUGUCAGAAAAUAGGUUUCUGGUGAGAUUUCCCCCAUGGAAAAAUGUGGAUGAGCUGAUAGAAUUCCCUGAUUUUGAUCUGCCUAUUAAUGGGGUAUUUGUGACAGUGGAGAAGUGGACUGGAGCUAUUGACCCCUUCAGUGAACUAACUGAAGCUUGGGUUGUCAUUGAAGGGUUGUCUUCUAAAUGGUGUACAUGGAAGGUGUUCUCACAUAUUGCUUCAUGUUUUGGUAUCCUAGUAGAUGUUGACUGGAAUGGUCUAAUGGAAAGCUUCUAUGAGAAAGUAAGGAUCAAGAUUGCCUACAAAAAUCCAGCUAAAAUUCCGUUUGAAAGAAUUAUGGAGAUGAGGAAGAAAUUAUACAUUAUAUCUUUCACUGUGGAAGGCUUUGAACAGAUAGGAGUUGAUGACCCUAAUGAUGACAAGUGA
rnacentral:rRNA from 1 species